rnacentral:rRNA from 1 species
GACCUGCGGAGGGAUCAUUACACAAAUAUGAAGGCGGGCUGGAACCUCUCGGGGUUACAGCCUUGCUGAAUUAUUCACCCUUGUCUUUUGCGUACUUCUUGUUUCCUUGGUGGGUUCGCCCACCACUAGGACAAACAUAAACCUUUUGUAAUUGCAAUCAGCGUCAGUAACAAAUUAAUAAUUACAACUUUCAACAACGGAUCUCUUGGUUCUGGCAUCGAUGAAGAACGCAGCGAAAUGCGAUAAGUAGUGUGAAUUGCAGAAUUCAGUGAAUCAUCGAAUCUUUGAACGCACAUUGCGCCCUUUGGUAUUCCAAAGGGCAUGCCUGUUCGAGCGUCAUUUGUACCCUCAAGCUUUGCUUGGUGUUGGGCGUCUUGUCUCUAGCUUUGCUGGAGACUCGCCUUAAAGUAAUUGGCAGCCGGCCUACUGGUUUCGGAGCGCAGCACAAGUCGCACUCUCUAUCAGCAAAGGUCUAGCAUCCAUUAAGCCUUUUUUUCAACUUUUGACCUCGGAUCAGGUAGGGAUACCCGCUGAACUUAAGCAU